CUUGAGAUCAUGACCUAAGCUGAAAUCAAGAGCUGGAUGUUCAACCUCAUGAGCCAUGCAGACUUGAAGACUAAAAGUUCAAGAGAAGGCUGACCAGUGAGGUACCUUAGGAACCAAGAAACAACAUGGUGCCACCUGCAUGGAAAAAACUGCCUCCAGCCUGUCCCUGCUAGUAGAGGUCAAGUGAAGAGUCUAGCCUUCUGCCUUUGCUGAGAGGUUUCAAGAAGAAUGCACUCACCAGACCGACAGUAGCAUACCAAGUAGCACAUCUAGCACAGUAGCUGAGAUUGGGACUACUACUUGAUGAAGAUGAUCAUAGUUGAACAUCACCUGUGACAAUUCAUAUGGCUUUGCAGAGAUGGGACAGCACUGUACCAACUUGACCAUGGACACCAAGGCUUCAAUCUUGAGGUGAAUUUCAAAACAUUUAUCAAGAGAGAAGAGGUUUGGGUUUUCUUUUGCAGAACCAAAGAAGCAUGGAAUUAUCUUCUCUCCAGGGAUAGGCAGCCAUUUCUAGAUUCCACCAUCCUGCCUGAAGAAUGCUUCGUCACCUGUCAGUUUAAUUGUCCUAUGUUCACUUGAUAACACAAAAUGAAAGACUAAAGGGAAGGCGGUCUUGGCUCUUGAUUCUUCAAGAGAGGCCUUUCUGAACACCAUGCUCUAAUCCUGUCCAAGAGAGCCAAGGCCUAUGGAUUUAGAAGAGGACAGCUGUGGGCAGACACUGUGCUAGUGUUGGGAACAGGUCAACGGAUAAAGAAACAAGCCAGCACUGUGUUUCAAGACCCAGCUUUCUCAAGUUAGCUGCUUUCUGCAACUGCUUUUUGCAAUUUCAUCUUUGCUCUUUCUAUGUUUGGAGACAUUGCUUGCUAAAGUUCAAGGUCUAUUCAAUCAAAGAGCUUGAGGGGCUGGGUAUAGGGUUGAGAUGAAGAGUACUAAGUGGACCUUCCCCAGAUAGAUGAGAAAAUUAUGACUACCUUUUACAUAAGAAAUAUUCAUAUAUGAAAAAGCAGUAGCCCAAACCAAUGGGGAAAAGAAAGGUUAUGUAAUAUUUUGAUUAAGUAAGAAAUUACAAACCACCAAUCUGAGGGGAAAAAAUGGGCCAAACCUUAUUUUAUUCUCUGUUAUUUAUUUACUUCUCCUUCACUUGCAACUCUUCUAAACUGGGUGAUAUAUUAUAAUAAAUAAUUAUAUUAAGUAUAUUUAUAUAAUUAUAUUCAAUAUUUUAUAACUAUAAAGAAUGCAUUAGUUAAUUUACUAGUACAUGUAUAUAUAUACAACAUGUAAGUAAUAUGUAUGUUUUUAAAUCCCAAACCUACUAAAUAUAGAACUCUAAGGGUUUGUUCUCCUCUUUUUUGUUUAGGAAAAUAAAAUUCCACAGGUGAUUCUGUGUAUUUGUGGAAUAUGCCACAGAACAAACCCUAAGAAAGCUCCAAAUGGAUUAGAGUUAGCUAUAAAGCAAAACAAAAUCAUGGAAAACAAAUUUAAGUAGUUAUUAGAUAUCUGGUGGAGCAACAUUUUGAGUUAUGAAGUAAAAUAAAAACAAAAAUCAACUGAUCCAGUCAUACAAUUUUUAAACUUCCAAAGAAUGAAAAAUAGUACCAUGUAAAAUUUUUAUAAAAUUAUA